rnacentral:rRNA from 1 species
UACGUAGGGUGCAAGCGUUAAUCGGAAUUACUGGGCGUAAAGCGUGCGCAGGCGGUCUGCUAAGAGAGGUGUGUAAUCCCCCGGGCUUAACCUGGGAACUGCGCUUCUAACUGGCAGGCUUGAGUGUGGCAGAGGGGGGUGGAAUUCCACGUGUAGCAGUGAAAUGCGUAGAGAUGUGGAGGAACACCGAUGGCGAAGGCAGCCCCCUGGGCUAACACUGACGCUCAUGCACGAAAGCGUGGGGAGCAAACAGG